AGGAUGCUCGACUCUUCAACUCUCCAUCCUUCACCUCUCUUUCUCUGUUCGCUCCAUCAACCUCUUCCUCUCUGUUAUGACUAACAGCCUCUCACACCUCUUAGUCUUUUUUUUUCCCCCUGCAAAAGUUUAAUGGGGUUGACUGGGCCAGCCAACAGGUGUGUGCUGAUCAUUUUUGCUUUUUCCAAGGAAAGGACUUCUCCUUCAAUCAUUGGAUUGUGUGUAUGGGUCAAAUCAUCUCUGAUUUAACUUUCUUUUCUUAAUGCUGUCUCUGGUUAUUGAAUUUGCCCCUAAAUAUUGGAGACACAAAGGAAGACAAGUGAUGCAGCCUCUGAGAUGACAGAAAACCUGCAACAUCAGCAGCAUGAUGAGAUGACGCCAAAGUCCUGCUGAGCAAAAACAUUUUACUGUUCUAACUUCAGUGGAGCAACACCUCAGUGUGAAGAGAGUCAUUUGUCUGGAUGGUUUAACUCAGAGACGGGACAACAACAUGGGUGUUUUAGACAGAAUGACACCUGAAUGAGUUUGUUUGCCAAUAGUUGGAGCUCCAAACAACAUCUUCCCUGAGUGUCUGGAAAGCAACCUGGUGAAUUCCUUUCUUCAAUGGAAGAAGACACUGAAACACUCAUGUUGCCAUACUUUGCACCCUCUGGAUCAAAUGAAGUUUGCAGAUGAGAACCAGGCACAUUUAAACACAAAGGGAUUUGGAUAUUUACAAAAGUAUGGAUUUGGAAUGAGCCAACAUGACGCUCGACAUGGCAUGGCGACUUACGCUGAAGUUGACAACAGAGACGAUCAACACCUCUGAAAAAGACGCAACCUGUGCCUGAUGCUGACCAUCCUUUCCAAAGACUGAUGAAUGCCCUCAGGGACUUGAAGAGCCUGGAAGAGACAAUGGAUCGCAUGGAACUAAAAAUUUGAUAUGGAAAUCUCUGCUUUACAAACUUCUUCAGGGAAACUCUGUGGGAAGACGAAAUCACCCCCAGCAGAACAGCGUGUUUGGACACAGUUGGGAACAAUCAGUCCUGCAGGCUUUCAUUGAUCUGGAGCAGAAGCAGAACCUGUCAUGGAGCUCCAUCUGAUGUGUCACCAUCCAGCUACAGAGACACUGAAUGGAUAAACUCAGAAACUCUGCACAAAAAUACCAUCUUACUAUCCAACUUCUGUCUGCUACUUCUCUUUAAAUCAUGUGUCCCAUGUCCCACAGACAGACAGCAGCCUGCCUCCUCUCCUUCAUAUGUAACUUAUGAGCACAUCAGCUUGUUGAACAAGCAACCAAACAAACACUAGAUGGCCAAUAAGCUGCAUCACAUUGAACAGCAUGUAAACACACCUGUACUUCUUCUGUUUUAGAUGCUGCUAACCACACACUGUCUGCCCAUGUUUGUUUACAUUAUAUCUGACUGCAAAGAAGGAUGACUAAAUAUGAUUUUAAAUAGACUUUGAUCAACCCAGUACAGACUGCAGUUCCUUCUCUCUCCACAACACAGAAGAAACAUGCAACUUUUUUAAAAACGCGAUACUGAAUCAGUACUAUUAAAAUCAGAGCACCUCUCAUGUGUUGCUUGAUUUGUCUGAAUUACUGUCUCAAUCAUUUUGUAAUUGCACUUUGGAUAUGUAUGUAAACUAGAGCUGCAACAAAUAAUCAGUUUACUAUCA